GAUGAACGCUGGCGGUAUGCUUAACACAUGCAAGUCGAACGGGAUUCUUCGGAAUCUAGUGGCGGACGGGUGAGUGACGCGUGAGAAUCUGCCUUCAGGUCGGGGACAACAUUUGGAAACGAACGCUAAUACCCGAUGUGCCGCGAGGUGAAAGGUUAACUGCCUGAAGAUGAGCUCGCGUCCGAUUAGCUAGUUGGUGGUGUAAAGGACUACCAAGGCGACGAUCGGUAGCUGGUUUGAGAGGACAAUCAGCCACACUGGGACUGAGACACGGCCCAGACUCCUACGGGAGGCAGCAGUGGGGAAUUUUCCGCAAUGGGCGAAAGCCUGACGGAGCAAUACCGCGUGAGGGACGAAGGCCUGUGGGUUGUAAACCUCUUUUCUCAGGGAAGAAGCUCUGACGGUACCUGAGGAAUCAGCAUCGGCUAACUCCGUGCCAGCAGCCGCGGUAAU
rnacentral:rRNA from 1 species